rnacentral:rRNA from 1 species
CCUACGGGAGGCAGCAGUAGGGAAUAUUGCUCAAUGGGGGAAACCCUGAAGCAGCAACGCCGCGUGGAGGAUGAAGGUUUUCGGAUUGGAAACGCCUUUUGUUAGAGAAGAGAAUGACGGUAUCUAACGAAUAAGCACCGGCUAACUCCGUGCCAGCAGCCGCGGUAAUACGGAGGGUGCAAGCGUUACUCGGAAUCACUGGGCGUAAAGAGCGCGUAGGCGGGAUAGCAAGUCAGAUGUGAAAUCCUAUGGCUUAACCAUAGAACUGCAUUUGAAACUGUUAUUCUAGAGUAUGGGAGAGGUAGGUGGAAUUCUUGGUGUAGGGGUCAAAUCCGUAGAGAUCACGCGGAAUACUCAUUGCGAAGGCGACCUGCUAGAACAUAACUGACGCUGAUGCGCGAAAGCGUGGGGAGCAAACAGGAUUAGAUACCCGGGUAGUC